GAGGAAUAUUGGUCAAUGGGCGCAAGCCUGAACCAGCCAUGCCGCGUGCAGGAUGACGGUCCUAUGGAUUGUAAACUGCUUUUGUACGGGAAGAAACACUCCUUCGUGAAGGAGCUUGACGGUACCGUAAGAAUAAGGAUCGGCUAACUCCGUGCCAGCAGCCGCGGUAAUACGGAGGAUCCAAGCGUUAUCCGGAAUCAUUGGGUUUAAAGGGUCCGUAGGCGGUCUUGUAAGUCAGUGGUGAAAGCCAAUCGCUCAACGGUGGAACGGCCAUUGAUACUGCAGGACUUGAAUUAUUGGGAAGUAACUAGAAUAUGUAGUGUAGCGGUGAAAUGCUUAGAGAUUACAUGGAAUACCAAUUGCGAAGGCAGGUUACUACCAAUUGAUUGACGCUGAUGGACGAAAGCGUGGGUAGCGAAC
rnacentral:rRNA from 1 species